GGCAUAUUUUAAUUGAAUAUAAUUGAAAAUGGCGAGAAAAAGAUCAGAACAAAAAUAAAAACAUUAGUUUUACUGCUUUACAAAAGAUCUUUUUUCUAUUUUCAUUUUAACAAUUCAUUUUUGCCAUGGAAGAGGAUAAACAUUGUCCAAAUAAAAAAGCUGUGAUUAUCCAACAUGGAAAAUUAAAUUCCACUUUUCAACAAAUAAGCAAACAAACAUGAAGAUCAAAGUGUGUUAUUAGUCAUUUAUUAAAUGAAAAAAGUUAUAAUAGUUGAAACCCACAGGUAGAGCAAAUAAAACUGGAGAAAGAUGUAUUAAAAAAUCAUUGAUCUUGCUCUGGAAAAAUCAACCACUGCAAUGAAAAUAAAAACUCAGUUAGACAUUGAUUACAGCACAAGAUCUGUUCAAAGAAUUUAGACCAUGGAAGGGUUAAAAUACACCAAAAUGUGAGGAAGACCUCCUUUAACGGCCAAACAGAACAUUUAUAACAUUGAACAGGCUGAAAAAUGUUGAAUUUACAGAGUUAAAUGUAAUCUGGAUAGUCCUGGUGGGUUUAAAUUCUUGAAGAAGUACACUGAUGGAGAUGUCAGAGUCUGAAGCUGGGGCCUCAUGCAUGCACUGUUGGAGGAAACAUAUGACAAUUGAAAGCAUCACUCACAUCCUCUAUAUCAAAGGUGAGUGCCUGUGCAGAAAUGACAUGAUAUUCAAAUCAGGACUUUCUCACACACUUAUUAUGAGAUCAUCAGUUAAACAUCAUCUCUUCUUAUUUCAUAGAUUGCCACUGCAGGAAAGAGUCGAACAUUGUCAGCAGGAUUUGAACCUGCGCAGGGAGACCCCAAUGGAUUUCUAGUUCAUCGCCUUAACCACUCAGCCAUGACAACUCCUGUGCUACUGCUUUCUGUUCUGUGUGAUGAAAGCGCAAAAUUUGGCUUCACAUACAAACAUCUGUCGUGUUCCCACCCUUGCUUUACGCAUUUAUCUAAUCACUUAAAUAUUGGAGCUCCGUCUCUCCCUGUUGCUCCGUGCAGAUCUCCUGAGGUCAGCAGAGUCUCUGCUCACCUGUUGGUGGAGGUUAAAGUUGGUGGGUACUGGAGGACAGGCUUGGUGGUCAGAAAAAUGCACACAACUUUUCAUCCCCUAUCAUCUCCAUUAAGUCCAGGGACACCAGGAUCCAGAGCCCAGAGUGAUGACCAUUACACCAUGGAACUUCCUCCACUGUCCUCCACCUCAUCUUCUCAUCUGACAGAGAUCAUCAAACACAGUACUAAGUUAUAACACAACAACA